ACAAGUUGACAUUUCGAGAGAGAGAGAAAAAGGAAGAUACUAUGAUUCAUUCAUCAUAACUAACAAGAUUCAGAAGACCAAAAAAAGUCUGUUUUAGGGAAUAACAUUCACAAAACAAGCCUGAAGGUGAAGUUGAUACGCUUUGGCAAAGAAUGAAUCCAGCCCUUCUGACCACCAACUAUCUAUGUUUUUCAAUGUCAAACUUUGUUGAUCUUCUCUGUUUCUUCUUUUUGACCUCUUCCUCCUCACAGGUCCUUUGUAAUUAUUUAACAGCAAGCUGUUGAGUCAGCUUCCAAGAAGCGCUUUGUAAACCUGACGAGACAAAAGAUAAAUGUUGGUUCCAAGAACACAAGCGACUUCUCGCAUAUAAGAGGUUCAAUUUUUCUAGUUGAUACGGCCAAACCAACAAAAGUCUCUGGAUUCUGAAGACGAACCAAUCAAAAGUGAAUGGUAAAGAUGUUAAAUUUGCUUCCUCUUUUUUUAUAUACCAAACAACAUACCAUUCAACUUUAUGAUGUAAAUUUUAUUGUUUGUUUUGUUGGGAUUAGUUUGAAAUAAGUGUUCCCAAGUCAGCACAGGCUUAUACUGC